AUUGAACGCUGGCGGAAUGCUUUACACAUGCAAGUCGAACGGUAGAGGGGGCAACCCCUCGAGAGUGGCGAACGGGUGAGUAAUAUAUCGGAACGUGCCCAGUCGUGGGGGAUAACGUAGCGAAAGUUACGCUAAUACCGCAUACGAUCUAAGGAUGAAAGCGGGGGAUCGCAAGACCUCGCGCGAUUGGAGCGGCCGAUAUCAGAUUAGGUAGUUGGUGGGGUAAAGGCUCACCAAGCCAACGAUCUGUAGCUGGUCUGAGAGGACGACCAGCCACACUGGGACUGAGACACGGCCCAGACUCCUACGGGAGGCAGCAGUGGGGAAUUUUGGACAAUGGGCGCAAGCCUGAUCCAGCAAUGCCGCGUGCAGGAAGAAGGCCUUCGGGUUGUAAACUGCUUUUGUACGGAGCGAAAAGGCUCCCUCUAAUACAGGGGGCUCAUGACGGUACCGUAAGAAUAAGCACCGGCUAACUACGUGCCAGCAGCCGCGGUAAGAC
rnacentral:rRNA from 1 species